ACGUUACUGCUGACUUACAGUAUCAACCGGAGAUACAGUGAAGGAUUUUGGAUAAAAUGGAUUCUGACCAGGUGCCCGACACAAGCAAGAAUGAAGAGGCCUCCAUUUACAUCCCUGGCAGAGGGCCUCAGUUUCAGGCAAUGGACAAUUACGAGAUGCUGACCAUCACAAAGGAAGAAGAACAAGAGACGACAAAAGCCG